AAAUUCACAAGGAUAAGAAGUUAGCCACACGCCGCCAUAAAGACGAAAACGGUGCCAAAUAGAAAGCCGAACAAAUCUACAACUGAAAGCAGACGAUUUCGGACGGUUAGCCAGCCAAAAAGACGCUAAUUUGAAAUCGUUGUUGCCGGAAAGUUUUGCUCACCGCUUUUUCUCUCUAAAAACCUAAAAAGUGAAGAGAGAGAAAAUGUCAAAAGAAGUAUGAAUGUGUAUGAAGAAUUUAAACUAAAAAACUCUUUUACUCGAAUAUAAUUAUGAAAAAAAUUGUAUACCUCCUUCCCUUAGAUCAUGACAAAAAAAACCUAAAAAUCCUUUGGCAUAUUGUUAGUUUUCUAU
rnacentral:sRNA from 1 species